GUGGCACUUGUGGGGCAGGAGUUGGAUGAUGUGGAGCCGGAAAUGGUAUUUGUAGGGCACAGGUGGAUGUUGUGGGGCAGGAUUUGGCACUUAUGGGGCUGGAGGUUACACUUGUGGGGCAGGAGGUGGAACUUGUGGGGCAGGAGAUGGCACUUCUGGGCAGGAGGUGGAAGUUGUGGGGCAGGAUUUGGUACUUGUGGGGUGGGAGAUGGCACUUGUGGGGCUGGAGGUGGCACUUGUGGGAUGGUAGGUGGAACUUGUGGGGCAAGACUUGGAACUUGUGGUGCAGGAGAUAUCACACGUUGGGCAGGAGUUGGCACUUCUGUGGCGGGAGGCUGAAGUUGUGGGGUGGGAGGUGGCACUUGUUGGGCAGGAAGUGGCACUUGUGGGGUGGGAUUUUUCACUUGUUUGUCAUGUGGCCACAAUUGUUGGGCGGGAGGUGGCACUUGUGGGGCAGGAGGUGGGAUGAUGAGGGGCAGGAGCUGGCACUUGUGAAGCAUGAGCUGCACUUGUGGGGCAGGAAUUGGCACUUGUGGGGCAGGAGGGUGGCACUUGUUGGGUGGGAGGUGGAUGAUGUGGGGCAGGAGGUGGCACUUGUGGAGCAGGAUGUGGAAGUUGCGUGGCAGGAUUUGGCACUUGUGGGGUGGGAGGUGGAACUUGUGGGGCAUGAGGUGGAAUUUGUGGGGUGGUAGGUUGCACUUGUGGGGCAGGAGUGGCACUUGUGGGGAGGGAUGUGGCACUUGUGGGGGCCAGGAGUUGGCACUUGUGGGGCUGGAGGUGGCACUUGUGGGGCAGGAGGUGGAUGAUGUGGGGCAGGAGUUGGCACUUGUGGAGCAGGAGGUAAAAGUUGCGGGGCAGGAUUUGGCACUUGUGGGGCAGGAUGUGGCACACGUUGGGCAGGAGUUGGCACUUGUAUGGCGGGAUGUUGAAGUUGUGGGGCGGGAGGUGGCAUUUGUGGGGCUGGAACUGGCUCUUGUGGGCCGUGAGGUGGAAGUUGUGGGGCAGGAAAUGGCACUUGUGGGGGGUCAGGAGGUGGCACUUGUUGGGCAGGAGGUGGAACUUAUGGGGUGUGACGUGGAAGUUGUGGGGCGGGAGGUGGCACCUGUGGAAAUGGAGAUGGCACUAGUGGGGCAGGUAGUGGCACUUGUGGGGCGGGAUAUGGAACUUAUGGGGCAGGAGUUGACACUUUUGGGGGCAGGAGGUGGAAGUUGUGGGGCUGGACGUGGCACUUGUGGGGCGGGAGUUGGCAAUUUUGGGGGAGGGUGGUGGCACUUGUUGGGCAGGAGGUGGCACUUGUGGGGCAGGAGGUGGCACUUGUGGGGCAGGAGGUGGUCCUUGUGGGACGAGAGGUGGCACUUGUUGGGCAGGAGGUGGAACUUAUGGGGCGUUACGUGGAAGUUGUGGGGGCGGGAGGUGGCUCUUUUGAGGGCAGGGAGGUGGAACUUGUGAGCCAGGAGAGCUGAGAAGGUUNNNNNNNNNNNNNNNNNNNNNNNNNUUUCCUUCCUUUCCUUCCUUUCCUUCCUUUCCUUCCUUUCCUUCCUUUCCUUCCUUUCCUUCCUUUCCUUCCUUUCCUUCCUUUCCUUCCUUCCUUCCUUUCCUUCCUUCCUUCCUUCCUUCUUUUUUUAUAAUAAAAGAAACCAACUAUAUCCA
rnacentral:lncRNA from 1 species